UACUCAAACCACAAAAAAAUAUAUUAAAUGAUCUUUCCGAUGACUUGACAUUUCAUCAGCACAGGUAGCACAUCUAUGCACGAUUCUUAAACCUAGUUCAGAAAUAAAGCAGUAAGGGGCAUUUCUUUUUUUAUAACGUGUAAAAGAAUGGCGAUUGUGCGCAACAAGGGUCCAACGUGUAGCUCUCUGUUAUACGAUACAGACGUGUAAAGUGUUCUACACUU